rnacentral:lncRNA from 12 species
AUGGAGGCAGGUGGGCUCCACGGGGCCGGCCUCCUCGGGCCCCAGCGCAGCCAGGUGAGGCCAGGAGGGGGCAGGAAUCCCCUGCCCGGGAUGGACCACCUGCUCACCUGCCCUCGGGGCCCGGGCUGGGGCCGCCUGCUUCCUUGUCGAGUCCGCCUCUGCAGACUUUCCCCCUUUGAGGAGCGGGCUGGGCAGUGGGAACCGCCUGGUGGGGGGCUCGGAGGGGUGCUGUGGGGGCGCAGGUGGGAGCGCCGGAUGCUCAGGUCAGGGCCUCCCGACCCUCACGUGCCCACGGGGCGGGCUUUCUGGGUGGCCAGGGGGACGCGGCCCUCCGCCCUCACAGCCCUGGUGGAGCCAGCGGGAGCUGGGUUAAGGCCCAGCUGCGCUGCGUGAGCCUUUCCAAGCGGCAUGACCUCGUCGAGUCCGGUCUUCUACCCUGGAGUGGGGAGCGGUGGUCCUUCCUGGUACGUCGGGCCGGGGGUCGCGAUGUGCUCUACGGAGACCACAGGCCUGCAGCCGGCCCGCGACCACCCACACUGGGUCUCCGGCCAGCAGGGCCCCUCGCAGGACAGCAGGCUGGAAAGACAUUGGCGACAUCGAACAAUUCAUCUCAAGAGCCCAUCCGGAGGGUCCCACCGGACACGGCGGGAAUGAGCCGUUUCCCCUCCCCCUGCGGGGUCCCCACGGGACGUGCGCAUCCAUCCCGGAGCAUCAGGAAGCCGUGCCCCCUCGGCGAAUCCGAGCUGCAGCCGGAGUAGAGCUUAACUCCUCACUGGACGACUCAGGGUCCAUUGGGUGAAGACCCUGGAUGUCAAAACUCUGACCCAGGUGGAGACUGGUUCUGGAAGCUCGGAUGCCAGGAGGGCCGUAAUGUGGGGCGCCGGCAGAUUUUCAAAGAAAUGUCUGAAAAUUGGUUUUGGGCUCACUGCGAGGACGUGCCGGGAGGCCAGCGCUGGCUGGGGCACCUGUUCCUGGAGGGGAGGGCGUGGGAGGCUGCCUCUGCCAUCGUGGGUGAGGGGGGCCCCCGGAGGGCUCCCCUGGACUCCAACCGGGUCCCGGGGUUCGGCCUGACUUCUACCCUGCAAGGAAGUGCUGGCCUGCCUGCUGGAGAAGGGGAGUGGGCUGGGUAGUGAGAGCCCGUCCCUGCCGGUGAGGGCCGAGGGCCCCCGAGGCUGGGAGGAGCCCCCGUCAGCAGUGGCCACACUGGAGGGAAGUGGGGGGACCUGCGGCUGGCGGGGAGACACGCGUCCUACUGUGUUCCUCUGCUUUUCCCAUACUAGUGGUCCUCAUCCUGAGUCCCUGUCUGAACCCCCUCCCCGGGCUGAGCUGCCCCCGCCUCCUCGGAGCCCAGCCCCCUGGCCGGGGGUCCUUGAGCCUCUGCAGCCUGGAGCCCCUGAAGGGCAGCGACGUGUCUGCCCGGGUGCUCCCCGCGGCCCGGGUGGGGGGGCGGCGCGUGUGAACUCGAGAGGACGUCAGGUAGACGUGCUUUAUCACCGGCGCGCUCUUCCCGCUUGGCGUCGGAUCUCAGCUGGCAUCUGGUCGGGACGAAGUUCGCAUCCAGUUGGCCCACGCACAUAAUUGGUCUAUAUCCACACCAGAGAAUAUGACAUAUUCUUAUUUAAAAAAAAAAAUCAAUAAAUCAUUGGCGAAGCCGCUGCCA